AACUAUAACUGAUUUAAUGAG
rnacentral:misc_RNA from 1 species